GACGAACGCUGGCGGCGUGCCUAAUACAUGCAAGUCGAGCGAAUGGAUUAAGAGCUUGCUCUUAUGAAGUUAGCGGCGGACGGGUGAGUAACACGUGGGUAACCUGCCCAUAAGACUGGGAUAACUCCGGGAAACCGGGGCUAAUACCGGAUAACAUUUUGAACCGCAUGGUUCGAAAUUGAAAGGCGGCUUCGGCUGUCACUUAUGGAUGGACCCGCGUCGCAUUAGCUAGUUGGUGAGGUAACGGCUCACCAAGGCAACGAUGCGUAGCCGACCGGAGAGGGUGAUCGGCCACACUGGGACUGAGACACGGCCCAGACUCCUACGGGAGGAAGCAGUAGGGAAUCUUCCGCAAUGGACGAAAGUCUGACGGAGCAACGCCGCGUGAGUGAUGAAGGCUUUCGGGUCGUAAAACUCUGUUGUUAGGGAAGAACAAGUGCUAGUUGAAUAAGCUGGCACCUUGACGGUACCUAACCAGAAAGCCACGGCUAACUACGUGCCAGCAGCCGCAGUAA
rnacentral:rRNA from 1 species